UGGGGAAUAUUGCACAAUGGGCGGAAGCCUGAUGCAGCGACGCCGCGUGAGGGAUGACGGCCUUCGGGUUGUAAACCUCUUUCAGCAGGGAAGAAGCGCAAGUGACGGUACCUGCAGAAGAAGCACCGGCUAACUACGUGCCAGCAGCCGCGGUAAUACGUAGGGUGCGAGCGUUGUCCGGAAUUAUUGGGCGUAAAGAGCUCGUAGGCGGCUUGUCGCGUCGGAUGUGAAAGCCCGGGGCUUAACUCCGGGUCUGCAUUCGAUACGGGCAGGCUAGAGUGCGGUAGGGGAGAUCGGAAUUCCUGGUGUAGCGGUGAAAUGCGCAGAUAUCAGGAGGAACACCGGUGGCGAAGGCGGAUCUCUGGGCCGUUACUGACGCUGAGGAGCGAAAGCGUGGGGAGCGAACA
rnacentral:rRNA from 1 species